CUGAGCACGGCAAGGCCAGGGCGAGAGGGCAGGCAGCCCCAGCGUGAGUCUGGGUGACUCAGUGCUGGGCAGGGGAGCGGGGCUAGGGGACGAAGCGCAGACACAUGGGGGUGGCGCAGAUGGCACAGCCGGCACGGCAGACCCUUCAGAACACUGGGAGUGAGAGACGCGAGCAGUGGAGGCCGCCGGCUGGGCCGACGCGAGGCACCGUCCUUUUAUAGGGAAAAGGAACGCAAAGGGCUUAGGGUAUGUUUUUUAAAAAAAUAGUUUUCCAAGAAAAUUCAAGAUAAAGAACAGAAUCAGAGCUGGCCGAUGGACAAAGGAGGGAGAGUCCUCAGCAGGCCUGUGGGUCCUCAACAAAGUCCCUGCGUGAACUUGACCUUGCUGGUGGUGCAGGGGGGCAGGCUUGUGGGAGGCGGGGGCGAAAUUCCCCACAAAUCAACACUAAGGGCCACCACCUGCCAGGACGCCCACAAUGGCCGGGUCAGCCGGGAGCCUGGACACGAGCCCCGCCCUCCCCUGCCCUCAGCACCUGCCGCUGAGCCCUGGCAGCUCUCCCGACGUGCCUCACCUCUGCUGACCUCUCUGCCUGGACAGCACAGCACGCCCCCUUCUCUGGACGCCUCCCGCACGCCCCCUGGGAACGCGGCCCCCUGGGAACGUCCACAGCGCUGACGUUACCUGAAAGCCGAAGCAGAUGGUGGGGAAGACGCUGAAGACGGAGGUCCAGGAGGACGGGCUGUGGACAGACAAGGAUGGGGCCGGUUAGAGAAGGGCACGACACGCGGCCACCGCACGCUUUGGAGCCGGACAGAGACAACACCGGGGCUGGGAAAGUGGAGGUGCUUCCCAGAGGCCACGCGCCCUAAAUAUACCACAUGGGCAGAGCCUGCGCAAGGCAACAGCUAGGAGGCACUCCCGGCUCCCCGGAGGGUGCCAGCCUCUCCCCCACGGACCCCAGCGGCACAGGGCUGGCUUGACCUCUGACCAGGCCACCAAGGGGCAGAAGCGCACGCACAGAUUCCUGAGGUCCAGCAAGGGGCAGAAGCGCACGCACAGAUUCCUGAGGUCCAGGCCUGUGAGCAGCACCCCCACCCCCGGCGAGCCCCGCUUCCCCUGAUGAGCACCUGUUAGGUAGGAAGCUAGAAACCAGCCUACGUGCGAGAGGGGCCCGAGGACAACAGCGCAUCUGCAGGAGCUCACCGUGGACGCAGCCCGGGACUUCACACCACAGAGUCCUGCCCAGACCUGGUCACUUUACAGGGCUCCCAGCCUGCCCCCAGGACAACCUCUCCUCAGCCCCAGAUGGGUUACCCGGCCUGCUAACCCGGGGAAUAAAACCUUUCCAUCCUUUCUCUAGGGCAGGCACCUAGGGGAGGCGCCUCUGCCCGGGGCCAGGUGGGCUCCCCAGUCUGACAGCACCGAGCAGAGAACCUGGGGAGGAAGUUCACUACUCACACCAGCAAACGCCGCCCUGGGGGAGGAGGAGAUGAAGGAGAAAUGGCAGGGAGAACCGGACCUCUCUCCCCUGUAAGCCCUGGCCUGAACUCUCUCCUGAGCCACCCGCCUGGCCUCCCAGUUGGAUUCUCGCCAUUUAACCACAUAACCUUGCUUCCCCAAUCGGAGUGGCUGGGUGCCCUCUCUGGAUUCUGUCCCAUCUGUUUUGACGGAUGCCCCCCCCCCCCCAAUAAACCCUGCUACCUUGUUGA